ACGGAGGGUGCAAGCGUUAACGGAAUUACUGGGCGUAAAGCGCGCGUAGGUGGUUUGAUAGCGAGAUGUGAAAGCCCCGGGCUUAACCUGGGAACGGCAUUUCGAACUGUCAGGCUAGAGUAUGGUAGAGGUAGUGGAAUUUCCUGUGUAGCGUGAAAUGCGUAGAUAUAGGAAGGAACACCAGUGGCGAAGGCGGCACACUGGACCAAUACUGACACUGAGGUGCGAAAGCGUGGGGAGCAAACAGGAUUAGAUACCCCCCGUAGUCC
rnacentral:rRNA from 1 species